GGGAUUUGGGAGCUUGCUCCCGAUGAGAGUGGCGCACGGGUGCGUAACACGUAUGUAACCUACCUUAGUCAGGGGGAUAGCCUCUCGAAAGAGAGAUUAAGACCGCAUAACAUAUUGGAGUGGCAUCGCUUUAAUAUCAAAUAUUUAUAGGACUAAGAUGGGCAUGCGGAACAUUAGCUAGUUGGUGUGGUAACGGCAUACCAAGGCAACGAUGUUUAGGGGAUCUGAGAGGAUGACCCCCCACACUGGUACUGAGACACGGACCAGACUCCUACGGGAGGCAGCAGUAAGGAAUAUUGGUCAAUGGACGGAAGUCUGAACCAGCCAUGCCGCGUGCAGGAAGACGGCCCUACGGGUUGUAAACUGCUUUUGUACCGGAAUAAACCUUGAUUCGUGAAUCAAGCUGAAUGUACGGUAAGAAUAAGGAUCGGCUAACUCCGUGCCAGCAGCCGCGGUAAUACGGAGGAUCCAAGCGUUAUCCGGAUUUAUUGGGUUUAAAGGGUGCGUAGGCGGCUUUUUAAGUCAGGGGUGAAAGACGGUAGCUCAACUAUCGCAGUGCCCUUGAUACUGAAGAGCUUGAAUGUACUUGAGGUAGGCGGAAUGUGACAAGUAGCGGUGAAAUGCAUAGAUAUGUCACAGAACACCAAUUGCGAAGGCAGCUUACUAAAGUAUGAUUGACGCUGAGGCACGAAAGCGUGGGGAUCAAACAGGAUUAGAUACCCUGGUAGUCCACGCCCUAAACGAUGAACACUCGAUGUUGGCGAUAUACGGUCAGCGUCUAAGCGAAAGCGUUAAGUGUUCCACCUGGGGAGUACGCCCGCAAGGGUGAAACUCAAAGGAAUUGACGGGGGCCCGCACAAGCGGAGGAGCAUGUGGUUUAAUUCGAUGAUACGCGAGGAACCUUACCCGGGCUUGAAAGUUAGUGAAUGUGACAGAGACGUCACAGUUCUUCGGAACACGAAACUAGGUGCUGCAUGGCUGUCGUCAGCUCG
rnacentral:rRNA from 1 species